GAAAUGUUUUCAAUUUGAUACUAGUGGGCCGCGAGGGGCGCAUACGUCAUCAGUUUGAGACGCCCAGUUGACAGGAGGUGACGAUGGAAAGCCCAGAGCCCAGUGUGUGGAGUGCGGCUUGACGCUUUCAAAUGAGGCGUUGAAGCCUUCCAAACUAAAGCGGCAUCUUGAGACACGACACCCAACUCUUGCUUGGAAGCCAGUCGACUACUUCAAAAGAAAAGAAAAUGGACUACAAACACAGAACAGGAUUCUCCAUUGUGGGUGCAACCAGGACCAAGACCCGAAACAGACUGAGAGCAACCCUCAGAGUGGGCCUUUCCCCCCAUCCCACCUUCUGGUGUCUGAGAAGCAAGCUCAAUUGUCUCAUUGAAUACUGAACAUGAGAAAUAUGAAGAAUAACUACUGGUUCUGCCACACCAAAUAUGAAGACUGCUACUAAACCUGCUCCAUCUUAAUUAAUUUGCACAGAUUAAUUAUAUUUAAUUAUAAUUAUACUAUAUUUUUUAAAUGUCUUUUUUUAACACAACUAUUAGGCCUGUUCAUUUUGUUCAUUCUAUUAUGAUUCUUUAUUAUUUUCAAUGUAUUGAUUCACAAUUACCUAAUUUAUUAUAUUUAUUAUUUUCUAUUUAUUUACUUUUCUCUCGACUUAUUUUUAGAGCAGAACUUCCUGGUUUUCAGAACUUCUUUGUUUGCUGUGGCAAAUACUGAAUUAUUAGUUCUUGUUGUGUUAAUAGGCAAGACUCCAGCCUUAUAAAUUUGCUCCUGUAGCAGUUUGAACAUUGUUCCAUGAACUGUUAACCUGUUGGGUUUUACUUCAUCAUAUACUUACAGUUCAUAUGAAUAUAGGAUAAUGUAUGUGCAGGUUUAUACACGCUUUAUACAAUAAAUCCC